ensembl:misc_RNA Metazoa_SRP Metazoan signal recognition particle RNA
GCUGGGUGUGGUGGCCCGUGCCUGUAAUCCCAGCUACUCGGGAGGCUGAGGCAGGAGAAUCAUUUGAACCCAGGAGGUGGAAGUUGCAGUGAGCCAAAAUUGCGCCACUGCAUUCCAGCCUGGGUGACAGAGUGAGACUCUGUCUCAA